UUCCUGGUGGUCCAGUGGUUAGGGCUUGGCACUUUUACUGCCCAGCCUCGGGUUCCAUUCUUGGUCAGGGAA
rnacentral:tRNA from 1 species